CUACGGGGUGCACCAGUGAGGAAUAUUGCACAAUGGGGGGAACCCUGAUGCAGCAACGCCGCGUGGAGGAUGACGCAUUUCGGUGUGUAAACUCCUUUUAUAUGUCAAGAAAAUGACGGUAGCAUAUGAAUAAGCACCGGCUAACUCCGUGCCAGCAGCCGCGGUAAUACGGAGGGCGCAAGCGUUACUCGGAAUCACUGGGCGUAAAGGACGCGUAGGCGGGUUGGAAAGUCAGGUGUGAAAGCCUACAGCUUAACUGUAGAACUGCACUUGAAACUUCUAAUCUAGAGUAUGGGAGGGGGAGAUGGAAUUAGUGGUGUAGGGGUAAAAUCCGUAGAUAUCACUAGGAAUACCUAAAGCGAAGGCGAUCUCCUGGAACAUUACUGACGCUAAGGCGUGAAAGCGUGGGGAGCAAACAGGAUUAGAUACCCUCGUAGUC
rnacentral:rRNA from 1 species